ACCCUUACUUAUUGGAAAUCAAUCCGUUUCUCCAUAUUCUGUUCUUAUUGUAGCCUCCUGUUUGGCAUACAAGGUCCAUAUUAAUGCAAUUAAAUGGUCUGGCAUGCCUAUUUUCCUUAAGGUGCUCCAGAGUUUCUCAUGAUCCACCUAGUCAAAGGCCUUACUGUAAUAAAGAGCAUGCUGACUUUCUUUUGAUAUUCUCUUGUUCUUUCAGUUUGCCAAUGGACCUCAGCAAUCCGAGCACUGUGCUGAGCACAAAUAUGUUCCACUGUACUCUCCAAAGUGCUUAGGGCAGCCCUCUGCACAAGGACUCCAAAGGCACGGAUGAUGUACGACGGCACCUGGAGAACGGCUAGAGAUUAAUUUUUGGAGCCCUGUAAUAUACCCUUCUGAGGCUUAACUGAAUUCUGGAGCAAACUUAGUAGCCCUAAUUAUCCGCAGUUGCAAGUGAUUAAAAAACACAAAUCACCGGGAGCCGAAAUCGAUGGAGGCAAUGAAAAGCAGCCUCUACAUCUCUGACUAUUUAAGUUGCUAAAUUCUCCAUUUGUUUCUUUGAUGCGGCAGCUCGAUGCAUUGUGUUCCUGAGACACUUCCUCAUAACAAGAAACAUAUGAGACAAAUUAAAUAUUGAUGUUCACCGUG